UACGGAGGGAGCUAGCGUUAUUCGGAAUUACUGGGCGUAAAGCGCACGUAGGCGGCUUUGUAAGUAAGAGGUGAAAGCCUGGAGCUCAACUCCAGAAUAGCCUUUUAGACUGCAUCGCUUGAAUCAUGGAGAGGUGAGUGGAAUUCCGAGUGUAGAGGUGAAAUUCGUAGAUAUUCGGAAGAACACCAGUGGCGAAGGCGACACACUGGGCCAUUACUGACGCUGAGGCGCGAAAGCGUGGGGAGCAAACAGG
rnacentral:rRNA from 1 species